UUAUGAUGAUGAUGAUGAUGAUGAUGAUGAUGAUGAUGAUGAUGAUAUCAUCAUCAUCAUCAUCAUCAAUAUUAUUAUCAUGA
rnacentral:pre_miRNA from 1 species